CGGGCUCCGCCGGGCUCCAGCCCGGCUCCAGCCGGCGUCCGUGCGGCGUGCGUCCGUCCGGAGACCCAGUGACCCCGAGAGGGGAGGACAGGGUUUCUCUGUGUAGCUUUGGAGCCUAUCCUGGCACUCGCUCUUGUAGAUCAGGCUGGUCUCGAACUCACAGCGAUCCCCCUGCCUCUGCCUCCCGAGUGCUGGGAUUAAAGGCGUGCGCCACCACCCUGCUCCACUUUGACAUGUCAAUGGCACCUCAGCCCUUUGUCCCCGUGUUUGACACCCGAACAACACCCAGGAGACCCCCUGGGACCUCAGGAACGAAGGGGCCUAACAUGCCUUGCAUGUGCAGACAGCCUAG
rnacentral:lncRNA from 1 species